AAGUCGUAACAAGGUUUCCGUAGGUGAACCUGCGGAAGGAUCAUUACCGAGUUCAUGCCCUCCGGGGUAGAUCUCCCACCCUUUGUAUACUAUACCUUUGUUGCUUUGGCGGGCCGCCUAGCUACUGGCUUCGGCUGGUAAGUGCCCGCCAGAGAACCCAAAACCCUGAAUUAUUAGUGUCGUCUGAGUAAAAUAUUUAAUAUUUAAAACUUUCAACAACGGAUCUCUUGGCUCUG
rnacentral:misc_RNA from 1 species